rnacentral:rRNA from 1 species
ACGAACGCUGGCGGCACGCUUAACACAUGCAAGUCGAACGAGAGAAGAGGAGCUUGCUUUUCUGAUCUAGUGGCGGACGGGUGAGUAACACGUGAGCAAUCUGCCUUUCAGAGGGGGAUACCGAUUGGAAACGAUCGUUAAUACCGCAUAACAUAAUUGAACCGCAUGAUUUGAUUAUCAAAGAUUUAUCGCUGAAAGAUGAGCUCGCGUCUGAUUAGCUAGUUGGUAAGGUAACGGCUUACCAAGGCGACGAUCAGUAGCCGGACUGAGAGGUUGAUCGGCCACAUUGGGACUGAGACACGGCCCAGACUCCUACGGGAGGCAGCAGUGGGGAAUAUUGCACAAUGGAGGAAACUCUGAUGCAGCGAUGCCGCGUGAGGGAAGAAGGUUUUAGGAUUGUAAACCUCUGUCUUCAGGGACGAAAAAUGACGGUACCUGAGGAGGAAGCUCCGGCUAACUACGUGCCAGCAGCCGCGGUAAUACGUAGGGAGCGAGCGUUGUCCGGAAUUACUGGGUGUAAAGGGAACGUAGGCGGGAUCGCAAGUCAGAUGUGAAAACUAUGGGCUUAACCCAUAAACUGCAUUUGAAACUGUGGUUCUUGAGUGAAGUAGAGGUAAGCGGAAUUCCUAGUGUAGCGGUGAAAUGCGUAGAUAUUAGGAGGAACAUCAGUGGCGAAGGCGGCUUACUGGGCUUUAACUGACGCUGAGGCUCGAAAGCGUGGGGAGCAAACAGGAUUAGAUACCCUGGUAGUCCACGCCGUAAACGAUGAUUACUAGGUGUGGGGGGACUGACCCCUUCCGUGCCGCAGCAAACGCAAUAAGUAAUCCACCUGGGGAGUACGACCGCAAGGUUGAAACUCAAAGGAAUUGACGGGGGCCCGCACAAGCAGUGGAGUAUGUGGAUUAAUUCGAAGCAACGCGAAGAACCUUACCAGGUCUUGACAUCGUAUGCAUAGCUCAGAGAUGAGUGAAAUCUCUUCGGAGACAUAUAGACAGGUGGUGCAUGGUUGUCGUCAGCUCGUGUCGUGAGAUGUUGGGUUAAGUCCCGCAACGAGCGCAACCCUUACUGUUAGUUGCUACGCAAGAGCACUCUAGCAGGACUGCCGUUGACAAAACGGAGGAAGGUGGGGAUGACGUCAAAUCAUCAUGCCCCUUAUGACCUGGGCCUCACACGUACUACAAUGGCUGUCAACAGAGGGAAGCAAAGCCGCGAGGUGGAGCAAACCCCUAAAAGCAGUCUUAGUUCGGAUUGUAGGCUGCAACCCGCCUACAUGAAGUCGGAAUUGCUAGUAAUCGCAGAUCAGCAUGCUGCGGUGAAUACGUUCCCGGGCCUUGUACACACCGCCCGUCACGCCAUGGGAGUCGGUAACACCCGAAGCCUGUAGUCUAACCGCAAGGAGGACGCAGUCGAAGGUGGGAUUGAUGACUGGGGUG